UCUCCUUUUUCAAAUCAGUGAAAUUAAUCUCCCCGUGAAGAAGCGGGGAUACUCAUAUAAGACGAGAAGACCCCAUGGAGCUUCAAACCCAACUACACCCCUAGCUCUUAUAGCCCCACAACCCCCCUAGGCGCCGUGUGCUUGGUUUUAGGUUGGGGCGACCGCGGAGUACAAUAAAACCUCCACAAUGAAUGGGAACACCCCCUUAUCUGAGGGCCACACCCCCUAAGAAUUAGAACACUAACAUAAAAUGAUCCAUUACUUGAUCAAUGAACCAAGUUACCCUGGGGAUAACAGCGCAAUCCAUUUCAAGAGCCCCUAUCGACAAAUGGGUUUACGACCUCGAUGUUGGAUCAGGGUACCCCAGUGGUGCAGCAGCUACUAACGGUUCGUUUGUUCAACGAUUAAAACCCU
rnacentral:rRNA from 1 species